rnacentral:lncRNA from 15 species
GUAUUCAUCUCCAUUUGUUUCCUCACUCACCGACAGCCUGCCUCAUGCUCCUUUGCCCCUGUGUUGAUAGGGUGUUAGCUCCAACGUGCUGUGCUUUGUGUGUGUGUGUGUGUAUAUAUAUAUAUGUGUGUGUGUGAGUGAGUGUGUGACAUCAACCCACACCUCCGUCACCAUCGCCAACAUAGCGUGCUGCAGCUGCUUCCCUCUCUUAAAGGGCUGGUACCUUCAGUAACACAGAACCUACCGAAGCUUUUGGAGACAUAACCCAAAGAGUGCUUUUGCUUGUUGGAAAGGAAAAAAAAAACCACAACAACAUCCUGUUCUUGUGUUUUGCUUUGACUGAGGAUGCUUUCUGUGUCUGACUGUCCCGGCAUCCUGGCUUUCUUCCCAUUCUCCUUCCUGCUCCUCAUCCUCCCCGUUUGGCUGAUGCAGCGACUCAUCCCUCGCUCUGUACACCUCACUUUGCUUCCCAGGAGCUAGUCCAAAUGGGGCAAAAGACUAAGACUUUUGAUUUAACCACAUGUCUGUAAGACCCAUCAUAAUAUUUACAUGCUUAACAGCACUCCUCUGUACCGAUACAACCUGUUAUUUGCCUAAAUUUUCAUCUCUGUGUUUAACUGCCAAAAGGAUUUACACAUCCUUUUAAACACUUUUAACAUUUUUACACUUAUUUGUCAAAUUCACACUUUUCGAUGUCUCACAGCAACAUUUCCUCCUAUAUGCAUCCCUAAUUUUCAUUUCCUGUCUUGUCUUUUCUUCUCCUGUGAUCUCCUGUGUCUUUCUCCUGCCUGCCCCUGCUGCUUGUCUCUGUGCCUCUGGCCUUUCCUCUGUCCCCCUCUGCUGUGGUGGGUGUGUAAAAACAGCCUCCAGAGGACAAGACCUGGGUGUACUCUCCGCUACACUAUGGCUCAGAGUCUAAGGCCCUGCCAGAUGGGGAUUGGGAAAGAGAGACAUAAACCCUGUUCUCUGGCAGAGAGGAGUGAACGUCUCAGCGGAGAGGACUCAUCGGUCAGAAGUCCAGACCUCAGCGGUAGCAGCAGGAUCUCUGUCUGAACCAGGACUUUAAACAUGUAUACAAGUGACUUGAGUACCAGAGAGGGGGAAAAAAUCCUGACAAUGAUGACAUUGCUGAUUUUUAACCAUCCCUGCCUUUCACCCUGGACAAAUGAAAAUUAUAUAAAUUUAACAAUAAUGUGUAUGUGUGACAUGCAGUAGUGUGUAUACGGCUGUAGUCUUAUAUGUUUGACAUACAUGAAAGACCAUAGUAGCUCACAGUGCCUCUGAAAUGUAUUCACCCCCUUGGAAGUGUUCAUGUUUUACUGUCUUACAACACUGAAGUAGAUAUAAUGUGGCUUUUUUUGACACUGAUCAACAGAAAAAGACGCUUUCAUGUCAGUAAACAUAAAAUAAAACAUGAUAACUUCCACAUGGGGUGAAGUCUUUUUGUAGGCAUUGUACAGUAUGAUCUAGUUCACACAAGCACAGCCCUAUAACAGGCUCUCCCACUCACUCCUGCAGAGCAGCACACGGACAUUUGGCCAAUCAGGAUAAGCCCACCAACGCUCCUUGGUACUGGCUGUAUUGAUGUUGUACCCUCACAUGGCAUCCAGCAACAGCUGGAAAAGAAACACAUGGUGUGAGAUUUCAGUGUGCCGGAUGAGUGGUCAAACCUGUGGUGUUGGGAGGGCUGUGCUCUGAGAACUGGAGUUACAAUGAUAACCAUCGUUUGGCCAAUCAAAACAGAACAUCCAGACGUCUCUGUCAUUCUCACAUUUCCAGUAGUGAAAAUAUGCAGUUCAGUUUAUAGAAACACAGAAUUUCUUUUAGUGAAUAUAUAUAGUUCUUUCAUAGCAUAAUAAUUUAUUAUGUAUAUCAAAAACAUUUUUCCAACAUUUUUUUAUUUCUGUUUUACUACUGUGAACUUAUAUUUGUUUUGUCUGUUUGUAUUUUAUUCUAAUGGUCACUGUUAUUGAUACUUUUUCACUCUGAACGCUUUCUUUUCAAUUUGCAUCCAAAGAACUUUUAUUUUUUGUUUUAUCAUUUCAGCACUGCAGCUUUUUUUUUUUAGUUUACCAGUUUCUUUUUUUACAUCAUGUGUUUGUUGUUUAAUUUCAGUGUUAACUACUUUUUUCAC